rnacentral:lncRNA from 1 species
GAUCAUUGCUGUCAGGUGGCAUUAGCUUCUUUGCAACAUCCUCCUACUAUGUGCCAUGAGGGAAUAAAGCCACAUCUCCCUGGGAAGCUCCUAUCAGUGACUCAGGAGAAAUCCAAGUUCUUUCUCAAGAAGCUCUUCAAACUUUACGCAAAUACAUUUCCACUCCAUUAUUGACCAGAAGGGAGAGCCAUGGUAACCUGCCCCUGCCUUCUACCUCGUCUCUGUGUGUGGCAUCCUGGAGCCAUGUUUCCACCAACGUCUUGACUGUGGCAGAUCUGAGAAACUCUACAUUAUACACAAAUGUUCUCUGGCCCCAGAGAUUAUCGCAGUACAUUGGGUGAGGGUAAGGGGUGAUGAUUCAGGAAGCCAGAAGGCUUGUGGCAGAAUGUCUUCAUUUUGCUGGAACAUCAUGAAAAACUACCUGAUCAGAGUGUCCAUAUGUAAAGAGUUGUAGCAAGUAUACAUGUGUGAGGAGGAAGUAAUUCUCUUUCAAAAAAUCAAGGAAAGGGAGGCAGGAAAAUGAAGUAAUUAGGAGUGUAAAUAGAGAUUAAGCUACAUUUAUACUUUAGUGUUCUCAUUUCAUACUUGUGUGACUUUGGGCAAGGUACUUACCCCUCUCAUUCUUGGUUAUCUCAUAUGUAAAAUGGUGAUAAUAUUGUCAUUUAGGAUUUCAGAGAAAAUGAAACAAGACAGUGUAUCUAAAGUGCUUAGAUGGUUCCUGACUCCAAAAAGUUUUGGUUUUUAUUAAGAUACUGCAAGCCUGCCUUUGACCACUGAUUACUUCUGCCUGAGUUGGAGAGAAGUCAUGUUUGUAUAAUAUGUGAUACUGCAUAUAUGAACACAGAAUUUCUUAUUAGUCCCAGGAAAUAUAUUUUGGUAGUUAGAUAUUUAAAAAAAAAUUAGAAUUAUUUCUGGGCUAUCCUUUAAGAUAAUAUUUCAAAAGUUACGUACAUUUCAUACUUUAUUUUCUAUUGUCAUUUCAAUUAUUGUUCAAUUGUCUCUCAAACAAGAUUUUUAAAAAUAUACUACCAGUUCAUUAAUUGAAAUAUUUUCUUGAAUAGAGUGUAAAUGAAUAAAUAUAAUUAUUCAAA